UACAGGUGUCCCAGCUCUCAAAGGUGGGAGGGAGGAACAAUAAAGACUGCGUCCAUAAAGUGAUGGACAGGCUUUUCACCAACAGCCUAAUGGCAUCUUUCAACAUGAAGGGGCGGGGUAGCAGUGAGAAAAAAGCCUUCCAGGAUACCAUUUUUUACUCUGUGGUAAAAGCUGCAGUAAUGAAGUGGAGUAAAACUGCCACAGAAGUUGAAAUCAGGGCUGCUAUGGCUGAGACGCUUAAACAUGCUCCCGGGAGAGCUGGAGGUGGAGGUCACAAAGUGUGAACA